rnacentral:lncRNA from 10 species
CAGAAGACUCUGGACAAGCCACAGUCCCUGCUGUUCGAUAUACCAAUCCAAGCCUCUACCUAGGCACAUGGCUCCUGGUUUUGCUGAUCCAAUACAGCAGACAAUGGUGUGUACAGAAAAACUCCUGGUUCCUGUCCCUAUUCUGGAUUCUCUCGAUACUCUGUGGCACUUUCCAAUUUCAGACUCUGAUCCGGACACUCUUACAGGGUGACAAUUCUAAUCUAGCCUACUCCUGCCUGUUCUUCAUCUCCUACGGAUUCCAGAUCCUGAUCCUGAUCUUUUCAGCAUUUUCAGAAAAUAAUGAGUCAUCAAAUAAUCCAUCAUCCAUAGCUUCAUUCCUGAGUAGCAUUACCUACAGCUGGUAUGACAGGUAGGAAAGCCUGGAGUAUGGAUUGGCUGUAUCCUUACUCUCUCACUCCUCUGAAAGUGUCAGAAAGAUUUUUUAUUUUAUUAUUUUUUUUUUGAGAUGGAGUUUUGCUCUUGUUGCCCAGGCUGGAGUGCAAUGGUGUGAUCUUGGCUCACUGC